rnacentral:rRNA from 1 species
GACGAACGCUGGCGGCGUGCUUAACACAUGCAAGUCGAACGGAAAGGCCCUGCUUUUGUGGGGUGCUCGAGUGGCGAACGGGUGAGUAACAUGUGAGUAACCUGCCCUUGACUUUGGGAUAACUUCAGGAAACUGGGGCUAAUACUGGAUAGGAGCUCCUGCUGCAUGGUGGGGGUUGGAAAGUUUCGGCGGUUGGGGAUGGACUCGCGGCUUAUCAGCUUGUUGGUGGGGUAGUGGCUUACCAAGGCUUUGACGGGUAGCCGGCCUGAGAGGGUGACCGGCCACAUUGGGACUGAGAUACGGCCCAGACUCCUACGGGAGGCAGCAGUGGAGAAUAUUGCACAAUGGGCGGAAGCCUGAUGCAGCAACGCCGCGUGCGGGAUGACGGCCUUCGGGUUGUAAACCGCUUUCGCCUGUGACGAAGCGUGAGUGACGGUAAUGGGUAAAGAAGCACCGGCUAACUACGUG